AUGAGACUCCGUGAUCGAUAUGAGGUGGAACUCAUGAAUGACUCUGAUGAAAUUGACAAUUUAUUCUGUCAUAUAGCGAAGGCGAAGCAAACCUUCUGUAGGGAGCACCAUUCUUGUAGAUACAUCCUGUGUAAAACCCGCAGUAUAUAUACCGCUGGACGCGCAACGGAAAAACAGUUGCAAACAGACUAUGAAAAUGCAGCAAGCGCUGCUCUGGCAGCAAUGUCUAGUUCGAAAAUCUCCAAGGACUGCAAUUGUAAGAACACUACCCCAGAGCCAGUCACAGAACCAGUCACAGAGCCAGGGCCGCUCUGUGAGGUCCUUCUAGAGGAAGAAAGACAGAGAUGCGGACAGGAGAAAGAACUUUUCGGUCGUACCAUCAGAGGAAAUUGCGAGGAGCUGGUAUCGGAUAUCUUUCAGGACUGUGUCCAAUGUUUAGAAUUCUUUGAUGAUGAAACGGCAUGUAACGAAAGAGCAAUAUGCUCAUUUGAUGAAAUAAGAGGCGUAUGUGUGAGUUCCGAUGGAUCCUGA
rnacentral:misc_RNA from 1 species